rnacentral:lncRNA from 10 species
GCUGCCACCGUGUCGGAGGCGAGGCGAGGAAGGGAGCUGGAAUAACAAAGGGAGGUAAUGGGGUAGAUUGGAUACCUCUGGGGUCUUGGAAGAAGCUAUGACUUAUUUACUGUCUACUAUGUGUAGGUAGCAGAGCUGGGAUCUGAACCCUUCCUUGUCUGACUUCAAAUUCCAUCAGGCCCUGACAUUCUCCAGCUUUCAUGGUGUUCCUGCAAUCCAAGUGCCGCUUAUCUCUCUACAGGGCUGGAAGAAAGCCAUACUUCUGACUCCAGGAAGUGCUUUGGUGGAGCUGGACCGGCUUCUGAGCUGUCUGUGGCGUGAGGCUGGGAUAAGUGUUUGGUCACCUGGGAUGGGGAGCCACUGGCCUGAGGUGACACAGACAAAGGGGAGCCAGGAGAACCUGUCCUGGCUCACUGUGGAGCACCCCGACCCUGCUCCCCUGCAGCAGGCUCAGCUAUAAGGCAUUGCCAGCCUAGCCCCGCGGUUUCUUUUGCUGGGAUAAAUUCAGUGGAAGGAGCUGUGUAAAGGCACAGGCCCUGCCCCACAGAGAAUCCUUGUCACUUACAUGCUCCAAGAGGUCUCAGAACUAGGGGACUUCCUCCCCUCCCUCCUCCUUGUCUGGAGCUGGCAUUAGGCCCCACAUCUUCCAGACCCAAGAAGGGCAUUUACUCCAGGAGAUGGCUGGGCAGACCCUCAGUAGGUAUUCCACGAAAGUGUUCAUGGCUUAAACCCAACACUUGAUUUCUCCCUGAGCCAGUCUCUGUGAAUGUCCUCACCAUCGUCCUGUGUCACUCCUGGCCUCCUGCUAACAACCAAAUCUAUUGACUCUCCAGAUCCCCAAUGUCUCCAUGUCACACUACUUCCAUUGCCACCAUUCCUGUCUGUAUCCUUGUCUUAGGUCCACCAGAUGACCGGCUGGCCUCCUAAUUGGGCUUCCUGCAUUCCUGCCUGUGCUCGGAGCUCCCUUCUCCACUUGCCUGCUGGAGGAGGUUUACAAACAAAAUCAGAUCAUGGCACUCCCCUGGGGCCCUGCAUCCUGUGGCCAGCAGGUCUUGGAAACGCCCCUGUACCCCAGAAACUUCCUGAUCAGUCCCUGGUCAGUGUAUAUCAUGCUUCCUGUGACAUGACAUCAACUUUUCAGUGACUUCCACUGGUUUUGGCCCAGCUCGAAGAGCCUGACACCUCUGCAGGGAAUUCUACCAGGGAGAAGAGAAAGUAGUCACUGCUUCCAGUUUUUUUAAGGAGUUGGCCAAGAGCCAGCACCAGGCAUCAGAGGAAGGCAGCUGACUGCACUCGGCCACAUCCCAAAAGUGCCUGGAAGGGGAGGGAGGAAGCAGGCGCUUCAGAAGGCACUACUGUGUGUCAGGACUCAUGCUAGGAACGCUGUAACAGGGAGCAGUGAUGGAGUCCUUGAGGGAGCUCAGGAGGGGGAAUUGCACUGAAGAUUUGUCCCAUCGUGAAGCAAGAGCACUGGAACUUACACUCCACCAUCAGGCCCUGUCACAGGAGAACAAAGAAGGAAGGCAGAGGAGAUCAUGCUCCGGCCAGCAGGGAAUCUCCAUUUUUUUCAGCCUCAUACCUUGGAAAGUACAAAGGAGUGAGAGCUGGGACUACCAGCCAGAGGGUUCAUGGAGGUAGUGGGAGGGGAAGAUGGGUUCUGCAUGGAGCCACUCCAGGGACUUUUCUUCUGUCUCACAGCCUGACAAUCACCUCUAGCUGUUCUCAGUCCCAUUCUCAUCAAUGACCUCGUCUCCUGAUUUUGUACAAUAUCUAGGUGACCUUCUCUUCUUUCCAUCUUCAAACGCUUGAUCAUUGAUGCUCCCUUUUCUCUUCUCUCUCCUCCUGGGAAAAGAGAAGGACCAACAUCCCCCUUUCCCUUCCUCCUGUGCUGUCCCGACCCCUCUGAGACCUGGCUCUAGCAGUAAGUCCCUCUCUCUUCUGCAGCACCAGCCUCUGCCCAUCCCUGCCCUCUGCACACAAAGCUCUCACAUUGUCUGCACUUUAAGAACUUUUGUGGCAAACCCUGGCAAAUCCUGCCACUUGUUUCCACUCUUCUCAAAUGGCUUUGAGGUCAUCAUUGACCUAUCCCAUUUGACCCUGUCCUGUAUCUGAUGUUGUACCCUUUCUCCUUGAUCCCACUCUGGCAACUCUCCCACUCCCCUUUCUUGGAUCAACUGUCUUGCUCCUCAGUCUUGAUCAAUGCCUCCUUCUCUCUCUUUAGCCUUGGCCCUUUUUGGCCAGGGAAAUAAAUGUGAAAUACAUAAAGCUUCAUUUUAUCUUAUGAUUAUAGCUAUGUUGAUGUUACCCAAGACCUAAAAGUCACACUCUCUAAUUACACUUCCCUCCUGUGUUCUGGGUCCUCUUGGACCAGUCCUUACUCUGGCUCCCCUCCUGGAUGUCUCCCAGACUUCUAAUUAGAAUUACUGUUUCCUAUAUCAAGCUAAUUAUCUUUCCCACCAACCUCCUCCAUCCUUGGGUGAAAGCAUCACUUGGUUGCAAAAGUCAGAAAUCUGGGUUUCAUUCUUGCGGUAGGUAGAAUAAUGCCCCCAGGCCCCAGGUUUUGACAUCCGAAUCCCUGGGACUUUGCAGAUGUGAUUCAGUUUAGGAUUUUGAGAUGGGGAGAUUAUCUGGGAGAGCCUGAUGUCAUCAUAAGGUUCUUAUAAGAGGGAGGCAGGAGGGUUAGAGUGAGUAGUAAGAGAUGCAACAGUGGAAGCAAGAGGUUGGGGUGAUGUGGCCACAAGCCCAGGAGUGCUGACAGACAUCAGAAGCUGGAAGGGACAAGGAAUGGUUUCUCCUCUGGAGCCUCCAGAAAGAACCAGCCCUGCUGACACCUUGAUUUUAGCCUUGGAAGACUCAUUUUGGACUUCUGACCUUGAACGUUGUAAGAGAAUAAAUUUACAUAUUUUAAACUGGUA